rnacentral:rRNA from 1 species
GACGAACGCUGGCGGCGUGCUUAACACAUGCAAGUCGAACGGAAAGGCCCUGCUUUUGUGGGGUGCUCGAGUGACGAACGGGUGAGUAACACGUGAGUAACCUGCCCUUGACUUUGGGAUAACUUCAGGAAACUGGGGCUAAUACCGGAUAGGAGCUCCUGCUGCAUGGUGGGGGUUGGAAAGUUUCGGCGGUUGGGGAUGGACUCGCGGCUUAUCAGCUUGUUGGUGGGGUAGUGGCUUACCAAGGCUUUGACGGGUAGCCGGCCUGAGAGGGUGACCGGCCACAUUGGGACUGAGAUACGGCCCAGACUCCUACGGGAGGCAGCAGUGGGGAAUAUAGCACAAUGGGCGGAAGCCUGAUGCAGCAACGCCGCGUGCGGGAUGACGGCCUUCGGGUUGUAAACCGCUUUCGCCUGUGACGAAGCGUGAGUGACGGUAAUGGGUAAAGAAGCACCGGCUAACUACGUG